CCAGACUCCUACGGGAGGCAGCAGUGGGGAAUAUUGCACAAUGGGGGAAACCCUGAUGCAGCGACGCCGCGUGAGUGAAGAAGUAUUUCGGUAUGUAAAGCUCUAUCAGCAGGGAAGAUAAUGACGGUACCUGAGUAAGAAGCCCCGGCUAACUACGUGCCAGCAGCCGCGGUAAUACGUAGGGGGCAAGCGUUAUCCGGAUUUACUGGGUGUAAAGGGAGCGUAGACGGCAUGGCAAGUCUGAAGUGAAAGCCCGGGGCUCAACCGCGGGACUGCUUUGGAAACUGUUAAGCUGGAGUGCAGGAGAGGUAAGUGGAAUUCCUAGUGUAGCGGUGAAAUGCGUAGAUAUUAGGAGGAACACCAGUGGCGAAGGCGGCUUACUGGACAGAAACUGACACUGAGGCUCGAAAGCGUGGGGAGCAAACAGGAUUAGAUACCCGGGUAGGA
rnacentral:rRNA from 1 species